UUUCUUUCAUCCGUCUAAUUGCUCUGGUCAGUGUUUCAAGGACUAUGUUAAAUAGAAUUGGUGAGAGAAGGCAUCCCAAAAUUGUUCCAAUUUUUAGAGGGAAUGCUUUCAGUUUUCCUCCAUUUAGAAUGAUGUUGGCCUGGGGCUUAGUGAAGACAGCCUUUACGAUGUUGAGAUAUGUUCCUAUUCCUAGUAAGUCUUUUUGAAGGAAUGCACACUGUGUGAUGGUUUGGCUAUGAGGUGUCCCCCCAGAUCUUUCAUGUUAAUGCAGGAAUAUGCAGAAGAGAUGAUAUGAUUCCAUUAGGAGAGCUGGUACCUCCUCAGUCCACACUAAUUAGAAUGGACUAACUGGGAGGUGACUAGGCAGGUGGGGUGUGGCUGGAGGAGGUGGGGCCCUGGGGGUGUACCCUGGGAGGGUGCAUCUUCCCUGGGGUCCCCACCCUCUCUGUCUCUGCUUCCUGGAGGCCAUAAUUUGAGCAGCUUUCCACUGCCUUACGGGUCCGCCAUGAUGUUCUUCUCCACCCCAGGCUCAGAGCAAUGGUUGGCUGACCUUGAACUGAACUGCUGAAACCAUGAGCCAAAUUAAAGUUUCUCUUCCCUGAGUUGUUCUUGUUGAAUAUUUUGGCCACAGUGACAACUGACUAAUACACACUGUGUUCUCUCUAGUGCAAGGACAGAAAUCACAGAUUAGUGGAGAAUAAAAAGGAGUAAGGAA
rnacentral:lncRNA from 1 species